GACGAACGCUGGCGGCGGGCUUAACACAUGCAAGUCGAACGGCAAGGCCCUGCUUUCGUGCGGUGCUCGAGUGGCGCCCGGGUGAGGAACACGUGCGUAACCCGACCUUGACUUUGGGAUAACUUCAGCACGCCGGGGCUCAUACCGGUUCGGUGUUCUUGCCGCUUGGUGGGGCUUGGAUAGUUUCGGCGGUUGGGGAUGGGGUCGCGGCUUGUCAGCUUGUUGGUGGGGUAGUGGCUUACCAGGGCUUUGGCGGGUAGCCGGCCUGAGAGGGUGACCGGCCACAUUGGGACUGGGAUACGGCCCAGAGUCGUGCGGGAGGCAGCAGUAGGGAAGAUUGCACGAUGGGCGCAAGUCGGAUGCAGCAACGCCGCGUGCGGGGUGGCAACCUUCGGGUUUGAAACCGCAAUGUGCUGUGACGGAGCGUGAGUGACGGUAAUGGGUAAAUAAGCACCGGCUAACUACGUG
rnacentral:rRNA from 1 species